AUUGAACGCUGGCGGCAGGCCUAACACAUGCAAGUCGAGCGGAGUGGCGAACGGGUGAGUAAUGUAACGGAACGUGCCCAGUCGCGGGGGAUAACUACGCGAACGCGUAGCUAAUACCGCAUACUCUUGGAGCGGCCGAUAUCGGAUUAGCUAGUUGGGGGGGUAACGGCUCACCAAGGCGACGAUCCGUAGCUGGUUUGAGAGGACGACCAGCCACACUGGGACUGAGACACGGCCCAGACUCCUACGGGAGGCAGUAGUGGGGAAUUUUGGACAAUGGGGGAAAGCCUGAUCCAGCCAUCCCGCGUGUGCGAUGAAGGCCUUCGGGUUGUAAAGCACUUUUGGCAGGAAAGCGGUACCUGCAGAAGAAGCACCGGCUAACUACGUGCCAGCAGCCGCGGUAAUUC
rnacentral:rRNA from 1 species